AUGGCUUUUCUGUGUUCCUGUGUAUAUGUGUAACUUUGAUUAACUGGCGCCACUGAUUGUUUUCUCGACCCUGAGAAAACACAAGAAGCUCGGACGAGAACCUUGUUUUGAAUAUGAUUGUUAAACACAUACGGCGUCAGCAUUAGAUAAAUCUAAGUACACUCUUAGAAAAAAGGGUUCAUGGGGGUGCUAUAUAGAACCAUGGGGGUCUUAGCCAAGGAGAUAGAACCUUUUGCCUAAAAAGGGUGCUAUUUCAUGCACCUGAGGGUUAUUUGAACUUCAACGACCGUUUAUGGAAUCUUUCUGAAGGCGUUCAUUCUUCACUGGAUUUAACGGUAAGUGACACACAACCCUAAUCCCUUUCAUUUCAAUCAUAAUCAUUACCCGUGUUGUCUGCAAAUCAAAGCCAGAAAUUAUGCCCCUUAAGUAAAAAACAAGGGGCGUUCUUCGUAAACGUCAGUGGGCGUUAACCGGUCAGCUGUUAGCUAGAAUCUGUAAAUUCGUUGUCUCUGAAUGAUUUUAGCAGCAGCUAGCUAUCCUAUCCUGUCACCCUACUGGAUCCAUCAUUAAGAUUAGUUUUCUACAUCCUUGUCAGGCUGACAAUAAAAUCAACUAUAGAAUAUAUGAUUUUGAGUUUGUAUCCACUAUUGUUGUUCAAUGAUAUUCACUGUCCUCCCGGCUCCCGAUAAGUUAAGCUAACUAAAUUUAGCGUGCUAGCUAGCAUGGCGAGUUGCCAUUAACUAGCUAGCUACAAACGUCAGCCAGCAAUGCAAAAUCAGAAUGAUAUGGCAGUAACUACUUCAUUACCAGGCUAUCUAGUUAAAUUACAGGAAACCAGCCAUCAAGUACAUAUAAUUGAGUUGUAUCAUUGUCAACACAAGUUUUUUGUUUUAUUUUUCGUUUUAAAGAACAGGAAAUUGAUGGAGACUACUGGGCCUCACUGAACGGAUGGUUGAAGAACUAUCCCCGUCUAUGAAAUUGCAGGUGAUGUUUGUGAAGGAACUGAACUAGCUCCUAGAACAACAUGAAGUUGGAUUGCCCCUGGACCAUGCUGACAGCAUAGGCAAAAGACUGUCCUGUCUAGACUGUCCUGUGCCAGUGUUGAGAAUGAUGCUUCGACAAAGACCAUGCUCGUCUUCUUUGACCCAACCAUGGCCAACAGUAUUCAGUCUGCCCACCUUCCCCCCAUAAAAAGUAAGUGAAUUACAGUGUAAAGACUAAAAAUAAAACCAUUUGAGUAGGCAAGUUCUAAUUACAAUGAAUGAUCUUUCAGGUACCCAAACCAUAAAAAAUAUACAGAUGUUCUGGGAUCUCAUCACCAGAUUUCCGUUUCUUGGAGAACACAGCUCCUCUGGUAUGUUCUUUCCCAACUGUUAUGCAAAACAUUAUUCCUCAGUUCAAUUUCUAUACUACUUUGAUUUUGUGCCAGCCUCAUAAUUUAUGUCUAUACCCACAGGAGACCCUUUUUUAUUCUUGCUUGUCUUUAGCCCAACUGUGUGCCUAUGUCUGUAUGUCUAUCUGCUUGCUAGUCACAGUUGUCAUUGAUUGCCGGUCUUAAUUCUUAAUUUUACACAUUUCUUAUGGCUAAUUUCAGAGAGAAAAUAAGUGCAGAUUGGAAAACGCAGUCCAGAUGCUUUCUGGGAAUUAUCCAACACAAGAGGUUUGCAAUAUUUUUGUGAAUGAGAUACGGAAUUAUAUUCUCUAUUGUUUAAACAAGGUAUGUGUUGGUUUUUAACAGUGCAAAUUGACAUUUUUUUCCCUUACACACUUCUCAUUUACAUAGGAACCACCCAACUAAUUUCCGGUCAUCAGCCUCCACGAUGCAGACUCGCCUCCUUGCCUGGAGAGCAUCCAUUAUGAUGGAUGGCAUCACCAUCAUAAGCGGCGAGAUGGAUGUGGCACAUGCCAUUCAAUGUCUGCUGGAGAUGUACUUCGUCAUUGGUGUGGAGUACCCCCGGCAGAUCAAGCAUACCCUUAGCUUUUCAGAGCAUUAUCUUUUCAAAAUACAAAGUUAAAAAAAAGUGUCCAUCCCUGUUCUGAAAUUAUAUAACCAG